AAUUAUACUCAUCUUACUGUAUUGUUUAUUACUCUGUCAGAAUAGACUGCAGUUUUAAUUAAAUGAGCAUAGACAAAGGUGUGGGCUUAGUUAAUGAUGAUGCCGGCCUCCGCAUGAACAAUAAAGCGCAAACGUGUAUUUUGUGAAGGAAACAAACAUCAACAAAAAUACAAGAUGUGUGGAUAUAUGCUUUGGUAUAUUUUGACAAUAGUUAUUGUGAUUCAUACCAUUGCAGCUGUACAUCGAAAGCCAUCUCAUUCACAUUCACAUCCACAUGCAGUUGGGAAGAAUAAACAUCCUAUGAAGAUAUCCAAUACGCCGAUAGAUUUUGGACUGACCAUUAAAAUUGGAUACCCAGAUUAUGUAAAAAUAGGAGAUACCUAUCAUCCAAUCAAGUUAUCAUUUACAGGACUAAAACAAAAAACAGACUGAUAUCAAUAAACACAUCCUAUUAUAGAAAUGAUGGGAGUAAAGCGUAAAGACACGAUUGUCCUGGCUUUGGUUUAUGUAUUAAAUAAAAAUUAAAACAUU